rnacentral:lncRNA from 1 species
CUCCCGCGGCCACGGGCCGCAAGGCCGCCUCCGGCCGGCCGCAGGCUGCCUCCCGUCGGCCUCCGUCCGCCCGUGAUUACUCCCGUCGACCUCCGGCGUAAGGAGCCCCAGCCCCUGUUCAGGUGCGUGACUUCCUCUGAUAGUGGUAGUGCAGGCCUCCCGUGAACCGUGAGUUCCUCCCAGUAGUGGUAGCAUAGCAUCCGUAAAGUGCAUAGAGAUUUACAUUUUCUGUGUAGUGUAUCCAGGCAAUUUGGAAUAUAAUCCAUAGUCUACAGAAUAAGGGCCCAUGCAAGCAUGGAUGGUGGAUUAAGGUCAGGGGCAGUGUGAUCUUUAUAAUGUUGGCUAUUGCACAGUUGUUGAUUAUCCUUUCUUUUCAAUACUUAACUGGUUCAAAUACAAUUGCUUGGAGAAUAGUACCAUAUAGAUUGCAAGUAGGAGGUAACGUGAUGAUAAUUGGCCAAUCUCCAGAAUCUGGAUAUGAGUUUAUAUUGAUUGAUUGCAGUCCCAGGCUCCCAUCCUCUCCUAAAUUAGAACCUGCUAUCAUGUUAUUCUCAGUGUAAUAGACCUUAAAUGUCUCUAUGCUGAAUUUGAACAUCUAUUUUGCAAUUUAAUAUGCAUUGUUAUUUAUUUAUUAAAAAAAUAGUUAAAACGUAUCCGCAUAUCGGGUUGUUUAAGAAAUUGCCGUAUCCGCGUAUCCGUAUCCUUCCGAUACCGAUACGCGUAUCCGUAUCCGUGCUGCAUAGCUAGCCGGUACGCUGGGUUUUGAUGAGCCUUUGCGGUUGGUAGUGAAGGCAGGAGUGGUGGUCUUUGUAUUUUCUGGAAUAACGAUUUGGAUAUCAAUAUUUUGGGUCAUUCUAAGUAUCGCAUUGAUGCUUCAGUUAUGGGUAUCGGUGAGUUACCUUGGAGAAUCACAACAGUUUAUGGAGAGGCCCAGACUAACCUGAGAUCUCAAACUUGGGAUACUCUAAAGAACAUAUGUGGUACUAGCACCUUACCUUGGCUUUGCCUAGAAGGUUUCAAUGAAGUAUUGCGACCUGAGGAGCACCUUCGAGUGGGACACCGCGCGCUAUCGCAGAUGCAGGGAUUUCGCGACAUGGUUGAUGUAUGCAGCCUCAUUGAUCUCGGUUAUAGUGGUCGCUUCUGGACCUGGGAGAAGAAGGUGGCAGGGGGUACUUAUACUCAAGUCAGACUGGAUCGAGCCCUUGGUUCAGCUGAAUGGAGUGCGCAGUUUCCCUUUGCAAAUGUGUGCCAUAUCAACGCAGCAACGUCUGAUCAUCGUGGGUUGCUGCUAAAACUAACUGAUGAUGAGUUAGAACAAACGGUGCGCGUCGAUAGUUCCGUUACGAAGCCAUGUAGGACAUGCACCCGGAGCUACAGCCUACCGUUGCAACGUGUUGGCAUACUGUGGUGGCCACAAUUGUUGGAGAUGUUAAAAGCAAACUGGGU